CACAAAGUGCCAGAUAUAAUCUUCUCGUAUAUGCUCACGCAACUCUGUUUUCCAUCAGAUAUACAGUACACCUAUGCCAGCCAUCGCAUAUGUGUUUUCUCCAGCAUGUUGCCACACCAGUGAGUAAAAAAUUCACAGAUACAAAGCCUUUUUAUUAAGAGUUAUCCAUAUGUGGUAAUAUGGAACUGCUACUUUUCUGCUACACUCAUACUUAGCCAUAGCUCAUUUCUCAUUGUGUAUUCUACGUGGACUCUCUUUCAGUGCCUUUUGGGUCUCAUAAAGGUCCUGAGUUUGGAAAAAGUCAAAUUCCAUCAUAUUUACUUAAAACUGCCAUUGACUGAGUAAGAACUACAGGAUGGGUGCAAGAUCAGCACUAUAGAAGUAUCCCUGAGGUAAUCUUGGCCAUAUUGGACACUCACUUAAACACCUGGAAAAUCCCCAUAUAGAUGAUAAGAUUCUGAUCAUCCCUUCCCUCUCGUUGGCCAGAAAGUUCUUGAUCAUUCAUUGGAGCUGAUGUAUCCUGCUCUCACUGUGGUGUAGAAAGCAGUCUAUUACAGUGCUGGAUUAAUCAAAGAGGCCUUUAUGGUUCGUGAAAGAAUAUCUAUGUGCUUAGACAGGAAACUUUUUGAUCCACUGAAAAGCCAGACGACAUCUAGACACAUCCCUUAUUAUGCUGUUCUCCUAUUAGCAAUGCUAGUGAGUGUGGCAGCUGAGGAAAUGUGAACACUUGGGGCCUGAUCUAAAGCUCAUUCUAAUCAUUGGAAAGAAUCCCAUUGACUUCACUGGACUUCAAAUCAUACCCAUGGUGAGGAAGCCUUUGUAGGAUGCAAUUUUUUUUCUUUCUUUCCAUGACUGCUUAACCAUUUCUGGU
rnacentral:lncRNA from 1 species